rnacentral:lncRNA from 1 species
AUUAAACUUAGUUUGAUUUUAACAAAAAUUGAAUCCUUGGGGUUCUUUGAUAUGCUGAAUUUAAAAAUGUACUUAGAUUUUUAUACGACCGCAAAAAUUUGAAAAAUUUUUCGUCGUAUAUUGCUAUCACGUUGGCGUCGUCGUCGUCGUCGUCCGAAUACUUUUAGUUUUCGCACUCUAACUUUAGUAAAAGUGAAUAGAAAUCAUGAAAUUUUAACACAAGGUUUAUGACCACAAAAGGAAGGUUGGGAUUGAUUUUGGGAGUUUUGGUCCCAACAUUUUAGGAAUUAGGGGCCAAAAAGGGCCCAAAUAAGCAUUUUCUUGGUUUUCGCACUAUAACUUUAGUUUAAGUGAAUAGAAAUCUAUGAAAUUUUGACACAAGGUUUAUGACCACAAAAGGAAGGUUGGGAUUGAUUUUGGGAGUUUUAGUUCCAACAGUUUAGGAAUUAGGGCCAAAAAAGGGCCCAAAUAAGCAUUAUUCUUGGUUUUUGCACCAUAACUUUAGUAUAAGUAAAUAGAAAUCUAUGAAAUUUAAACACAAGGUUUAUGACCAUAAAAGGAAGGUUGGGUUUGAUUUUGGGAGUUUUGGUCCUAACAGUUUAGGAAUAAGGGGCCCAAAGGGUCCAAAAUUGAACUUUGUGUGAUUUCAUCAAAAAUUGAAUAAUUGGGGUUCUUUGAUAUGCCGAAUCUAACUAUGUAUGUAGAUUCUUAAUUUUUGGUUCCCGUUUUCAAAUUGGUCUACAUUAAGGUCCAAAGGGUCCAAAAUUAAACUUAGUUUGAUUUUAACAAAAAUUGAAUCCUUGGGGUUCUUUGAUAUGCUGAAUUUAAAAAUGUACUUAGAUUUUUAAUUAUUGGCCUAGUUUUCAAGUUGGUCUAAAUGGGGGUCCAAAAUUAAACUUUGUUUGAUUUAAACAAAAAUUGAAUAAAUGGGUUCUUUGAUAUGCCAAAUCUAACUGUGUAUGUAGAUUCUUAAUUUUUGGUCCAAAUCAGGAUUCCAUAUCAAGUAUUGUGCAAUAGCAAGAAAUUUUCAAUUGCACAGUGUAUUGCACAAUAUUGUGCAAUAGCAAUUAAUUUUCAAUUGGAGUUAUCUUUCUUUGUAUAGAAUAGUAGUUGAUGAUAUAUGUUGGAAAUUUGCCAGACAUGACUAUGAUGUCAUUUUCUAUUUUUAUUUGCCAAUAACUUUAUGUAAAUAACUUCAUUGGAAAUUUGCCAAUAUAAAAUGUUGCUGAUGAAGCUUUUUUCCUUAUCUUAUCUAAAAUGUUUUUAGAUAAUGUAUGUUGGACAUUUGCCAGACAUGAACUAUGAUGUCAUUUUCUAUUUUUAUUUGCCAAUAACUUUAUGUAAAUAACUUCAUUGGAAAUUUGCCAAUAUAAAAUGUUGCUGAUGAAGUUUUUUUUAUUGUUUUAUACAAUAAACAAUGUAUAUUCACUUUUACUACCAACCAAUCUUUACCAUUCAGUGAUAACAAGCACUUUAUUUUACAUUUUAAUAUUUUAUGAUGUAUUUAUUAUGUAGUUAUUGUUGCAAACUCCAUUAGAAAUUUGAAUUGAUAUCAGUUUUGGAAAAAGGGAAGUGGGGAUGUGAAAAAAAGGGGGGGGGGGUUUAAAUUUUUCUCAUUUCAAAUUUCAUAAAUAAAAAUAAAAAAUUUCUUCAAACAUUUUUUUGAGAGGAUUAAUAUUCAACAGCAUAGUGAAUUGCUCAAAGGCAAAAAAAAAACUUUUAAGUUCAUUAGACCACAUUCAUUCUGUGUCAGAAACCUAUGCUGUGUCAACUAUUUAAUUUUAGAUUUAAAAAGUUUGAAGAAGAAAUCUUUAAUUGAUUUGUAAAAUCUUGACAUUUGUUUUGUGUAAAAAAAAAACCCAUGUAAUGUCAAAAAUUUGAUCACAAUCCAAAUUCAGAGCUGUAUCACGCUUGAAUGUUUUGUCCAUACUUGCCCCAACUGUUCAGGGUUCGACCUCUGCGGUCGUAUAAAGCUGCGCCCUGCGGAGCACCUGGUUUUAUUAUCU